CAAACUGAAGAUGGCGACCGGCGCACGGGUGAGUAACACGUAUCCAACCUGCCGAUAACUCCGGAAUAGCCUUUCGAAAGAAAGAUUAAUACCCGAUGGCAUAGUUCUUCCGCAUGGUAGAACUAUUAAAGAAUUUCGGUCAUCGAUGGGGAUGCGUUCCAUUAGGUUGUUGGCGGGGUAACGGCCCACCAAGACUACGAUGGAUAGGGGUUCUGAGAGGAAGGUCCCCCACAUUGGAACUGAGACACGGUCCAAACUCCUACGGGAGGCAGCAUG
rnacentral:rRNA from 1 species